rnacentral:rRNA from 1 species
UUUAAAUUGAGAGUUUGAUCCUGGCUCAGGAUGAACGCUGGCGGCGUGCUUAACACAUGCAAGUCGAGCGAUGAAGUUUCCUUCGGGAAACGGAUUAGCGGCGGACGGGUGAGUAACACGUGGGUAACCUGCCUCAUAGAGUGGAAUAGCCUUUCGAAAGGAAGAUUAAUACCGCAUAAUGUUGAAAGAUGGCAUCAUCAUUCAACCAAAGGAG